UAGGUUGAAGAUUCAGUGACCGUGGCAGUGGAGGAGGAGGAGGAUGAGGUAGCCAACACUGUUUUUAAUGUUUAUUUUUUUUAAUUGUGGUAGCCCACAAAAUAUUGGGACAUAUAAAAAAAGACAACUCUGUUCCCCAGAGUAGCUGUUGACAUUAUAGUUGCGCAGGCACUUUGUUGACUCUAAAGAACCUUGGGCCAAUCGCACAUCCCCGUGGCGGCGACUUUGCAUGUGGAUGUCAUCGAUAUCAACUUUCGAUGCCAGUUUCUGCGCCUACCAUGAUGACCACGGGUAACGGGGAAUCAGGGUUCCAUUGCAUACAGGGACCCUGAGAAAUGGCUACCACAUGCAAGGAAGGCAGCAGGUGCGCAAAUGACCCACUCCCGACUCGGAAAGGUAGCGACGACAAAUAACAAUACAGGACUCUUUAGAGGCCCUGUAAUUGUAAUGAGUCCACUUGAAAUCCUUUAACUCUGAUCAAUUGGAGGGAAGUCUGGUGCAGAGCCACAGACCCGUG
rnacentral:rRNA from 1 species